UACGGGGGGAGCAAGCGUUGUUCGGAUUUACUGGGCGUAAAGGGCGCGUAGGCGGCCACCGCAAGUCGACUGUGAAAUCUCCGGGCUUAACCCGGAAAGGUCAGCCGAUACUGCGGGGCUAGAGUGCAGAAGGGGCAACUGGAAUUCUCGGUGUAGCGGUGAAAUGCGUAGAUAUCCGGAGGAACACCGGUGGCGAAGGCGGCUUCCUGGACCGACACUGACGCUGAGGUGCGAAAGCGUGGGGAGCAAACAGG
rnacentral:rRNA from 1 species